CACAGCCACUGUGUUAAUGCUACUCUUGGGCUGCACUUUUCUGUAACGGUUGGAUCAGUUCACCAUGAUUACCAACAUCUUAAUGAGCAGACUGAAGCACAAGGAGGCUGCUCUGCUGACAGACAGCAAACACAGUCCAUUCAACCAGGAACUGAGUUUCUCUCUCAUCAGAAGCAACACGAAAGUUCUCAGAACCGCCCUCAUGGGGAGCAAUCUCAAAUAUUUGUGAGAAAGAAUCAAGAGGAGAAAAAAUACUUCUCUGGAUGCGUCUGAUUGAAUUGUAAUGUCAUUACACUGACUGUUAAAGCCUCAGAUUUUGCUUCUUAAUUUUUCAAUUUGAUUUUUGAUUUUUACGCAAAUUUCUA